rnacentral:misc_RNA from 1 species
AACAUUUUCAAAAGGAUGUGCAGAAGCCUUCCGCUCCAAUAUCUCACGAAAAGCUUUCUUAAAUCUGGAGCUGAUCUUUUGCAAGAGCCCAAUAAGAGUAGUUGCUUCUGUACCAGUUUUAUUUGGCCUAGGAUCAAGAACAGUUGUGGUGCUGGAAUUGACAUAAAAAGCUUUGGUUGUUCCAGUAAUACAAUACUUAUUUCCUUCUAGUGUGACUACAUCCAGAUAAAUCAAGUCCCCGGAGAGCCUUCUGUAGCUAGGAGGAGGAUUAAACGAAGAGAACACAAUGCUUUCGACACAUUUAAUUUCCUUUGAAGGUACCGACAGCAAACUAUAGACUGAACCAGAAACAUCCUCCACAAAACCCAAGUUUUCAAGUUCUGGUACAUCGGCCUUCACAGGCUCUCCAGAUUUCGCAACAUUACUUCCGAUUUCAUGCUGCAGUGCAAGUGACGUUGAUAGUGAGGAGUGCAAUGUGGAAAGAGAGAGCAAUUCUCGAGUGCGGUGAACAUGAGCCCUUAUGGAUCGAUCAUCAUACAAUGCUGGCACCAUCUCCAGGAAGCAAUCUCCUGUGGUGAUAUCAGCUACUUCAGAGAUUUCGUUAUAAUCUUCUAGAUGAUGAACAGAUCCGUCCUUUAUGUGCAAUGAUAGAUCAUAGCAUGUAACGAAGCAUGUCUCUGGAGCAUCAAGAAGAAACUGCCGCACAUCCAUAACAGAAUCACCAGGACUCAACUGUAGUUCUAGCUUAUCCCCUCCUUGGGUUUUGACAGAAACAGGAUAAAGAUGGAUGUCACCUUGCUUUGCCUCCUGUGUGGAGGUCUCAUUUCCAGAUUCUUUUGCUUCUGUUUUCGUAUCAGCUUGAGCAGUCACAGCUGUGGUUCCAUUAGACUCCGCAUGUGUUGCAGUAUCAUUCACAUUAGCAUCAGGUGGCGCUGCUUGCUCUGAAGAACUAGUAGCAUUUUGAACUGCCUUCCGAUUCUUCCCUUUGUUUGACUUCCCGGCCAUUCUUAUCCCAAAUUGACUUCGUCGGAGAGAGAAAAAGGUCG